rnacentral:rRNA from 1 species
GACGAACGCUGGCGGCGUGCCUAAUACAUGCAAGUAGAACGCACAGUUUAUACCGUAGCUUGCUACACCAUAAACUGUGAGUUGCGAACGGGUGAGUAACGCGUAGGUAACCUGCCUGGUAGCGGGGGAUAACUAUUGGAAACGAUAGCUAAUACCGCAUAAUAUUGAUUAUUGCAUGAUAAUUGAUUGAAAGAUGCUAUUGCAUCACUACCAGAUGGACCUGCGUUGUAUUAGCUAGUAGGUGAGGUAACGGCUCACCUAGGCGACGAUACAUAGCCGACCUGAGAGGGUGAUCGGCCACACUGGGACUGAGACACGGCCCAGACUCCUACGGGAGGCAGCAGUAGGGAAUCUUCGGCAAUGGACGAAAGUCUGACCGAGCAACGCCGCGUGAGUGAAGAAGGUUUUCGGAUCGUAAAGCUCUGUUGUAAGAGAAGAACGGGUGUGAGAGGGAAAGUUCAC